rnacentral:rRNA from 1 species
CCCUUAGAUGUCCUGGGCCGCACGCGCGUUACACUGAUACAUUCAACGAGCUUAUAACCUUGGCCGAGAGGCCUGGGCAAUCUUGUUAACGUGCAUCGUGAUAGGGAUAGAUUAUUGAAAUUAUUAAUCUUGAACGAGGAAUUCCUAGUAAACGCAGAUCAUCAAUCUGCAUUGAUUACGUCCCUGCCCUUUGUACACACCGCCCGUCGCACCUACCGAUUGGAUGGUCCGGUGAAGCCUCGGGAUUGUGGUUCUUGCCGCUUUGUUGUGGCGUGACCGCGAGAACUUGUCUAAACCUUAUCAUCUAGAGGAAGGUGAAGUCGUAACA